UACAGAGGGUGCAAGCGUUAAUCGGAAUUACUGGGCGUAAAGCGUGCGUAGACGGUCAUGUAAGUCGGGUGUGAAAGCCCCGGGCUCAACCUGGGAAUUGCAUUCGAGACUGCAUGGCUAGGGUGCGGAAGAGGGAAGCGGAGUUUCCGGUGUAGCGGUGAAAUGCGUAGAUAUCGGAAGGAACACCAGUGGCGAAAGCGGCUUCCUGGUCCAGCACCGACGUUCAGGCACGAAAGCGUGGGGAGCAAACAGG
rnacentral:rRNA from 1 species